UCACGGUACAAACUGCACUCAUGUCGCGCCGACUGCAAUACUUCAAGAAUGCUCCCGAGCUGCAAAAAGUUAAAAACUGUCUUACUUCAAAAAGUGGCCUCCAGUCUAACACACGAAAGGUGAGUCAUCCACACCUCCUCGCUAUCCGAUGCCCCCUCUGGAAAAAAAAUAAAAUAAAAAAUAAAGAGUUGGUGCCCCUCGGUAGCUGCAAUAAUAUUUUCUAUGGCCGGUUAAUUUCCCCCAAGCACUAAAAGUUCGCUUGGGUGCACUACAUAUGGAUUUGGUUGGCGGGUGUGUAGGCGGGAAAUAGAAAUAGCUCCAAAAAUAGACACCGCCUUCCGAUAAACACCGUAUCCAUUUAUAUGAAGAACGGCCUCUCAAAUAGAUACUUCCUUCAAAUAAACACCUGGUUCCUCAAAUGGACACUUCCCGUCACAAUUGGAGGACACGUACCACCCAUAUAUACAAAUAAAGGCCUCCUCCCGACUGUUUCACAAACAUAUUGCGGCAUCACGUCACCUCCACUAAUUGCAACGUGUUUCCAAGGCUGUCAUCAGGGGGUGGGGAAGGGGGGGGCAUCUAAAAGACAAAUCGAUAGCGGCUCACCUUGACCUUCCAAUUCUGACGCGUCGCCAGUCGGACGAGCGAGACGGUUGCAAUUAGCCUGGGCGUCCGUGUUGUUGGCUGGGUUUAUCUGCAUCGGCGUAAAAGGUCAGGUUGACGUGCACAGCAGGUGCACGUUAUUCACGUUAUAUCAUUAAAAAAAGGUGCUGUGAGCCACUAUGACGCGAUACGAGGCCGCCCGAUUGUUACAUUCUUCACCAAGCGAUGCAAGACGUCUUACGUGAGCAUCGUUGUUCCCGGACUGUUCGCGGACUAACUCAAAUGCAUUGUAUGGGGUAAUAAUAAACAUUUUCAGACCAAUUCAGCAAAAUUUGAUCAUUUUCCGUGACACACGUGAUGGCACGUACUGGUUGGAUAUUAUUGCAAUAAGCAAAACCAAUUUUUGAAUUUUUUUUGGGGGGGACAGAGAUACGUUGUUGUAGAAACUUGUAAAUACUCUGUGUCUUUAAUAAAAAUGAGAAAGAUGUUAAUAUAUCUUGAAAUAAAAUACAGUCGUGGGCCACUU